rnacentral:tRNA from 1 species
GAGGGUUUAGCUCAGUUGGUUUAGAGCGCUUGCUUGACAGGCAAGAGGUCACUGGUUCAAAUCCAGUAAUCCUCACCA